UACGUAGGGUGCAAGCGUUGUCCGGAAUUAUUGGGCGUAAAGAGCUCGUAGGCGGUCUGUCGCGUCUGCUGUGAAAACUCAGGGCUUAACCCUGAGCUUGCAGUGGGUACGGGCAGACUAGAGUGCGGUAGGGGAGACUGGAAUUCCUGGUGUAGCGGUGAAAUGCGCAGAUAUCGGGAGGAACACCAGUGGCGAAGGCGGCACUCUGGGCCGGAACUGACGCUGAGGAGCGAAAGCGUGGGUAGCAAACAGG
rnacentral:rRNA from 1 species